CCCGCUGAACUUAAGCAUAUUACUCAGCGGAGGAAAAGAAAACAACCGUGAUUCCCUCAGUCAGCGGCGAGCGAAGAGGGACCGAACUCGUUGCCGAAUCGGGUCUUACAAGGCCUUGAGUUGUGGCAAUCUGUUGCGUCGUAUAAGUGCAUGGGACUGAGAAUGGCGAAAUUCAAUGCGCAAAGCAAACCCAUUGCUGAACACAACCCUUUUUGUGAGUAUUGAGCCAGAGAAGGUGUUAGCCCAUUUACGCCAUACAUUACACACUCGUGUGUCCCUCACAUGCGGCGAUUCAGAGAGUAGCACUGUUUGGGAAUGCAGUGUUAAGCGGCAGGUAUUUGUCUGCCAAGGUUAAAUACAGAGUGGGAAGACCGAUAUCGAACAAGUAGCGUGAGCGAAAGUUUGAAAAGCACUUUGGAAAGAGAGUGACAUAGAACCUGAAGUCGUGACAAUGACAAUGGAAGCACCUCCAUUUCUUUUUUGGUCAAGACCAGCCCUGCUGCAUUCUCUCCCGAAGCGCCACACACGCUGCGGGUAACAAUAUUUUGCAGACCCAGGGUUUAUUGGUGAUCAUAGCAGCGCGGAGAAUUAAGUUCGGAGGCACUACAUACUUUCUUUCAAAAGGCCAAAACCUUACUGUGUGUAGCGAGCGCCGGACUUCGCGUUGAAAGCUUUUCUCGAGCUUGACAGCGAAAAUGGGGUACUUUCACCCGUCUUGAAACACGG
rnacentral:rRNA from 1 species